UUUUGACCUCGGAUCAGGUAGGGAUACCCGCUGAACUUAAGCAUAUCAAUAAGCGGAGGAAAAGAAACCAACAGGGAUUGCCCUAGUAACGGCGAGUGAAGCGGCAACAGCUCAAAUUUGAAAUCUGGCUCUUUCAGAGUCCGAGUUGUAAUUUGCAGAGGGCGCUUUGGCUUUGGCAGCGGUCCAAGUUCCUUGGAACAGGACGUCACAGGAGGGUGAGAAUCCCGUACGUGGUCGCUAGCUAUUGCCGUGUGAAAGCCCCUUC
rnacentral:rRNA from 1 species